CUAGCUGCCAUAGCUGCAGCAUCUGAGCCCAGCCUGCCUGGAGGCGUAACCAUCAAACAGGAGCCACUGGACAUUGUGUAGGCACAUCAAAAAUACAUAACUUGCAGGCUCUCCGAGAUGGGAAGGCACUGCUUGACCAGGCAUGAAAUCCACAGCGUGUGCUCACCAACAGAAGACAGCUGCCAGAACUGCAUCACAACAAAGACAGCAAAUGUCGACAUCAAGCGGAACAUUGCGGCGGAGGCCAUGCCUGCAAAGUGCGGCCAGCUAGCUUGAUGGUAUUUAGAGUACUGUUUAAUAAAAUAUAUGGCACUGUUGCCAGCAGCAUUGUGUUGAAA